rnacentral:misc_RNA from 1 species
GAUGAAGAACGCAGCGAAAUGCGAUACGUAGUGUGAAUUGCAGAAUUCAGUGAAUCAUCGAAUCUUUGAACGCAUAUUGCGCUCUCUGGUAUUCCGGAGAGCAUGCUUGUUUGAGUAUCAGUAAACACCUCAACUUCCAUAUCUUUUUUGAAAUGGGAGUUGGACUUGAGUGAUCCCAACGCUUUUCCUCACCGAAAAGUGGCGGGUUACUUGAAAUGCAGGUGCAGCUGGACUUUUCUCUGAGCUAUAAGCAUAUCUAUUUAGUCUGCCUAAAAAACAGAUUAUUACCUUUGCUGCAGCUAACAUAAAGGAGAUUAGUUCUUGUGCUGACUGAUGCAGGAUUCACAAAGACGGCUUCGGCCGACUUUGUAAACUCGAUCUCAAAUCAAGUAAGACUACCCGCUGAACUUAAGCAUAUCAAUAAGCGAGGA